rnacentral:rRNA from 1 species
ACGGUCCUAAGGUAGCGAAAUUCCUUGUCGGGUAAGUUCCGACCCGCACGAAAGGCGUAAUGAUUUGAGCGCUGUCUCGACAAUGCAUCCGGUGAAAUUGAAGUACCAGUGAAGAUGCUGGUUACCUGCGCCAGGACGGAAAGACCCCAUGGAGCUUUACUCCAGUCUGGUACUGGGACUCGGUAUUGCAUGUACAGGAUAGGUGGGAGGCUAGGAGAUGGUAACGCCAGUUGCCAUGGAGCCGCUGUUGGGAUACCACCCUUGCAGUAUUGGGUUUCUAACCAGCCGCCGUGACCCGGCGGUGGGACAAUGCCAGACGGGGAGUUUGACUGGGGCGGUCGCCUCCGAAAGGGUAUCGGAGGCGCUCAAAGGUUCCCUCAGAAUGGUUGGAAACCAUUCGAAGAGUGCAAAGGCAGAAGGGAGCUUGACUGCGACACCGACGGGUGGAGCAGGUACGAAAGUAGGGCUUAGUGAUCCGGUGGUAUUAAGUGGGAAUGCCAUCGCUCAACGGAUAAAAGCUACCCUGGGGAUAACAGGCUUAUCACUCCCAAGAGUUCACAUCGACGGAGUGGUUUGGCACCUCGAUGUCGGCUCAUCGCAUCCUGGGGCUGUAGCAGGUCCCAAGGGUUGGGCUGUUCGCCCAUUAAAGCGGUACGCGAGCUGGGUUCAGAACGUCGUGAGACAGUUCGGUCCCUAUCCGGCGUGGGCGUAGGAUAUCUGAGAGGAGCUGUCCUUAGUACGAGAGGACCGGGAUGGACGGGCCGCUGGUGCAUCGGUUAGACUGCCAAGUCUACGGCCGAGUAGCCAAGCCCGGAAGGGAUAAACGCUGAAGGCAUCUAAGCGUGAAGCCCCCCUCAAGAUGAGAUAUCCCAUUCUUAAAGAAGUAAGACCCCUUGAAGACGACGAGGUAGAUAGGGCAGAGGUGGAAGUGCCGUAAGGCAUGGAGCUGACUGUUACUAAUCGGUCGAGGGCUUGACCUA